AGACGUCUACAUUAGAUACCCCCGUAGUCCCGGCCGUAAACUAUGUGCGUUAGGUGUAUCGGUGACCACGAGUCACCGAGGUGCCGAAGGGAAACCGUGAAACGUGCCGCCUGGGAAGUACGGUCGCAAGGCUGAAACUUAAAGGAAUUGGCGGGGAGCACCACAACGGGUGGAGCCUGCGGUUUAAUUGGACUCAACGCCGGGAAGCUCACCGGAUAAGACAGCGGAAUGAUUGCCGGGCUGAAGACUCUGCAUGACUAGCUG
rnacentral:rRNA from 1 species